rnacentral:rRNA from 1 species
AUACGUAGGGGGCAAGCGUUGUCCGGAAUUACUGGGCGUAAAGAGCUCGUAGGCGGCUCAGCAAGUCGGUCGUGAAAGCCCGAGGCUCAACCUCGGAACUGCGGUCGAUACUGCUGUGGCUAGAGUCCGGUAGAGGAGAGUGGAAUUCCCGGUGUAGCGGUGGAAUGCGCAGGUAUCGGGAGGAACACCAGUGGCGAAGGCGGCUCUCUGGGCCGGUACUGACGCUGAGGAGCGAAAGCGUGGGGAGCAAACAGGAUUAGAAACCCUAGUAGUCC